rnacentral:ribozyme from 13 species
AAAAAGAUCGACAAAACAAGAAGAACAAAGGUCCCCAACAAAAGAAAACCAACUACCCGAUUGUCCCCUUUCUUUUUCUCUUUCUCUUUCUCUUUCUUUUUCUCAUUCUC